rnacentral:rRNA from 1 species
AUUGAACGCUGGCGGCAUGCUUUACACAUGCAAGUCGAACGGCAGCGCGGGCUUCGGCCUGGCGGCGAGUGGCGCACGGGUGAGUAAUACACCGGAACGUGCCCAGCAGUGGGGGAUAGCUCGGCGAAAGCCGGAUUAAUACCGCAUACGACCUGAUGGUGAAAGCGGGGGGUCUUCGGACCUCGCGCUCUUGGAGGGGCCGAGGGCCGAUUAGCUAGUUGGUGGGGUAAAGGCCUACCAAGGCGACGAUCUGUAGCUGGUCUGAGAGGACGACCGGCCACCCGAGAGCUGAGACACGGCCCAGACGCCUACGGGAGGCAGCAGUGGGGAAUGUUGGGCAACGGGCGAAAGCCUGAUCCAGCAAUGCCGCGUGUGUGAUGAAGGCGUUCGGGGUGGAAAGCACUUUUGGCGGGAACGAAAAGGACUGUGCCAAUACCACGGUUCGAUGACGGUACCCGCAGAAUAAGCACCGGCUAACUACGUG